CAGGAAGUGGGAGCACCGCGGUUUCGGGGAAGAGACCGGGGUUGAGCGUCUAGCCCAUCUCUGCGUGACUUCCGCCAGCGUUUAGAGCGUUUUCGGGGUCCGAGUUGAAGAGCAAAACCAAGUGAAGGAAACUUCACUAAGUUCAGGGUGACAAGGGAGGAAGUACAGAGACUGCACUUUAAAUUCUGGAUGACAGACCUAUCAGGACUGAGUGGACCUUUGAGUGACAAGAUGGGGGUGUUCCAAAGAGACCAUGGCAGCCUGCAGCUAGGACUUUAAUAAACAGAGCGCUUAAAAAGCACUGUCUGGAUAUCUUCAGAGGGAAAAAGGAGAAAGUUAACUGAAUUGGUGACACUUCGGGUCUCUCACAGAGGAAGAGACCACCAAACCAACAGAAGCCACCAGGACAGCACACAGCCAUUCCAAAAUUCCAGACCAGGAUCAUUCCAGAAAAGCCUUACAUCUCAGUCCAGUAUAUGGAUGGUUUUGUAAGAUGACCUAUGAUUUUUCUGUUCCUCCUUCCUGCCCCUAACUUCAGAGAAACAGACCUAGAAAGAGGGAAGGAAGGAGUGAAAAAGCGUGCCAUACUUUAUCUUCUCCCCUUCUGUUUUAAACUAGACAAAUCUAUAUUUUAAUUAUUAUAAGUAACCAGAAAGUUAUAUGGUCUGGCCAGGAUGGCAUUAAAGAAAAUGAGAGAGAAAAGUUUAAGAUAGCAUGGUUGGAGACAAUAAGUAGAAGAAACCAAGUAGUUCAAGUUUUAUAACGCUCUAUCUUAUAAACACUCUUGAACCAAUAAUAAUGCUAUUACUGAAAUGCUACACACAAUUGAAGACUACUUGUUAGACCAAGACCUUAAAAACUUCUUUACUGAUUAUUCCCAAUGUGUGGCCCUGGUAAUCAUUGAAGAAUCAUUGUAUUGACUAUUAAACAUCUAGGGAUCACCUGUUUAAAUCAAGUUAACAAAACACUUACUUAACAAAUAUAUAUUGAUUGCCUAUUAUGAAGUAGAUGCUAUAGUAGGUGCUGGCAGUAUAAACAUGAAAAGAGACAUUGUGUGUGCAUAUUAAUAUACAGCAAAUUAAACUUCAGCCAGAGAAGUACUUUACUAGAAGGUUGAUAGAAGUGUGGUGGUAGCUUGCAGGAGGAAGCAGUUAGCCUCCUUGGAAAUGAGUAAUCUUCACAGAAAGUAUGACAUUUGACCUGCUUCUUGGAGAAGAUGCAUAUUAAACCUAUUAAAUCCAUGUCAGCCUUUAACACCUUUGCUCAGAUUAGUUUCUCGAGCUGUUUUCCCACCUGGUGAGCAGAUAAGAGCAGGACAGGAAAGUUCUGAUGAAAGGAAGAAGUGCCAGAGAGAGAAGGCCUUGCAAGCAAAGAAGCCUGACAGGCAGGAGCCCCUGAGUAUCCUAAGGAGAAGUACCAGCGAUUUAGGGAAGAAAAUUGCUGCCAGAAGUGCAGGAAAUAAAAAUUCUGACCUAGAUCAUUUUA
rnacentral:lncRNA from 10 species